rnacentral:rRNA from 1 species
CCUACGGGUGACAGCAGUGAGGAAUAUUGGUCAAUGGACGCGAGUCUGAACCAGCCAAGUAGCGUGAAGGAUGACUGCCCUACGGGUUGUAAACUUCUUUUAUAUGGGAAUAAAAUGUUCCACGUGUGGGAUUUUGUAUGUACCAUAUGAAUAAGGAUCGGCUAACUCCGUGCCAGCAGCCGCGGUAAUACGGAGGAUCCGAGCGUUAUCCGGAUUUAUUGGGUUUAAAGGGAGCGUAGGUGGAUUGUUAAGUCAGUUGUGAAAGUUUGCGGCUCAACCGUAAAAUUGCAGUUGAAACUGGCAGUCUUGAGUACAGUAGAGGUGGGCGGAAUUCGUGGUGUAGCGGUGAAAUGCUUAGAUAUCACGAAGAACUCCGAUUGCGAAGGCAGUUCACUGGACUGCAACUGACACUGAGGCUCGAAAGUGUGGGUAUCAAACAGGAUUAGAUACCCCUGUAGUC